GUUUCAGGGCGUGGUGAAAGUCCACACCGGUGGUGAACGCUGACAGGCGCAAGUCCACGAGCCGUAAGGCCGAACUGGUGAGAUUCCAGUACCGACGGUAUAGUCCGGAUGAAAGAAA
rnacentral:ncRNA from 1 species